AAGUCGUAACAAGGUUUCCGUAGGUGAACCUGCGGAAGGAUCAUUAACACGUAUCCAACGUUAAAAACCCCGUGCAUUUUAACCCUGCUCUCUUCAAAUCAUAGCAUAGAACAGUUUGAUUCAGAGACUUCUUUAAGACGUGGGGAUGGAGCGGUAGAGCAAAUAGACUUGGUUUCCGCAAGGAUAACUGAUACUUACUCAGGUCGUUGACCCUCACGGUCAACGGACAGGUCUCUGGGGCUUCGGCUCCCCAUAUUAACCCCGUAUUGUGAAAGUCGGGCUUGCAAACUACAGGCCCACAAAACGAACAACUGUUAACAAUGGAUAUCUUGGUUCUC
rnacentral:misc_RNA from 1 species